GUGGGGAAUAUUGGACAAUGGGCGCAAGCCUGAUCCAGCCAUGCCGCGUGAGUGAUGAAGGCCUUAGGGUUGUAAAGCUCUUUCAGUGGGGACGAUAAUGACGGUACCCACAGAAGAAGCCCCGGCUAACUUCGUGCCAGCAGCCGCGGUAAUACGAAGGCGGCUAGCGUUGUUCGGAUCUACUGGGCGUAAAGCGCACGUAGGCGGAUCGUUAAGUCGUCGCUGAAAUCCUGGAGCUCAACUCCAGAACUGCCUUCGAUACUGGCGAUCUUGAGUCCGGAAGAGGUGAGUGGAACUCCUAGUGUAGAGGUGGAAUUCGUAGAUAUUAGGAAGAACACCAGUAGCGAAGGCGGCUCACUGGUCCGGUACUGACGCUGAGGUGCGAAAGCGUGGGGAGCAAACAGGAUUAGAAACCCGUGUAGUCC
rnacentral:rRNA from 1 species